GAUGAACGCUGGCGGCGUGCCUAAUACAUGCAAGUCGAGCGAACAGACGAGGAGCUUGCUCCUCUGACGUUAGCGGCGGACGGGUGAGUAACACGUGGAUAACCUACCUAUAAGACUGGGAUAACUUCGGGAAACCGGAGCUAAUACCGGAUAAUAUAUUGAACCGCAUGGUUCAAUAGUGAAAGACGGUUUUGCUGUCACUUAUAGAUGGAUCCGCGCCGCAUUAGCUAGUUGGUAAGGUAACGGCUUACCAAGGCAACGAUGCGUAGCCGACCUGAGAGGGUGAUCGGCCACACUGGAACUGAGACACGGUCCAGACCCUACGGGAGGCAGCAGUAGGGAAUCUUCCGCAAUGGGCGAAAGCUUGACGGAGCAACGCCGCGUGAGUGAUGAAGGUCUUCGGAUCGUAAAACUCUGUUAUUAGGGAAGAACAAAUGUGUAAGUAACUAUGCACGUCUUGACGGUACCUAAUCAGAAAGCCACGGCUAACUACGUG
rnacentral:rRNA from 1 species